rnacentral:rRNA from 1 species
UACGAAGGGGGCAAGCGUUAUUCGGAAUGACUGGGCGUAAAGGGCGUGUAGGUGGAUUUGUACGUUUGAUGUGAAAGUCCUGGGCUUAACCUAGGGAUUGCAUUGAAUACGGCAAGUCUAGAGCGUGAGAGGGGAAAACGGAAUUGCGGGUGUAGAGGUGAAAUUCGUAGAUAUCCGCAGGAACACCAAUGGCGAAGGCAGUUUUCUGGCUCAUGGCUGACACUGAGGCGCGAAAGCGUGGGGAGCAAACAGG